rnacentral:sRNA from 1 species
GCUGGGUGUGGUGGUGCACACCUGUAAUCCCGGAGACUCGGAAGGCUGAGGCAGGAGGAUUGCAAGUUCAAAGCCAGCCUCAGCAACUUAGUGAGGUCCUGUCUCAA